rnacentral:rRNA from 1 species
AUACGUAGGGGGCGAGCGUUGUCCGGAAUGAUUGGGCGUAAAGGGCGCGUAGGCGGCGCGGUAAGUCUGGAGUGAAAGUCCUGCUUUCAAGGUGGGAAUUGCUUUGGAUACUGCCGCGCUUGAGUGCAGGAGAGGUUAUCGGAAUUCCCGGUGUAGCGGUGAAAUGCGUAGAGAUUGGGAGGAACACCAGUGGCGAAGGCGACUUACUGGGCCGUAACUGACGCUGAGGCGCGAAAGCGUGGGGAGCGAACAGGAUUAGAUACCCUGGUAGUCCACGCGGUAAACGAUGAAUGCUAGGUGUAGGGGGUAUCGACCCCUCCUGUGCCGGAGUGAACACAAUAAGCAUUCCGCCUGGGGAGUACGGCCGCAAGGUUGAAACUCAAAGGAAUUGGCGGGG